CAAUAGCGUAUAUUAAAGUUGUUGCAGUUAAAAAGCUCGUAGUUGGAUUUGUGGCGUACGGUGUGUUCCGGGCACUUGUUGUCUGAGUAACCUGCUGUUGCCAUCCUUGGGUGGAACCUGUGUGGCAUUAGGUUGUCGUGCAGGGGAUGCCCAUCAUUUACUGCGAAAAAAUUAGAGUGUUCGAAGCAGGCUUAUGCCGUUGAAUAUAUUAGCAUGGAAUAAUGAGAUAGGACUUUUUUGCUAUUUUGUUGGUUUGCGCAAGAAGGUAAUGAUUAAUAGGGACAGUUGGGGGUAUUCGUAUUCCAUUGUCAGAGGUGAAAUUCUUGGAUUUUUGGAAGACGAACUACUGCGAAAGCAUUUACCAAGGAUGUUUUCAUUAA
rnacentral:rRNA from 1 species